rnacentral:rRNA from 1 species
GAUGAACGCUGGCGACGUGCUUAACACAUGCAAGUCGAACGAUGAAGCCCAGCUUGCUGGGUGGAUUAGUGGCGAACGGGUGAGUAACACGUGAGUAACCUGCCCUUAACUCUGGGAUAAGCCUGGGAAACUGGGUCUAAUACCGGAUAGGAGCGUCCACCGCAUGGUGGGUGUUGGAAAGAUUUAUCGGUUUUGGAUGGACUCGCGGCCUAUCAGCUUGUUGGUGAGGUAAUGGCUCACCAAGGCGACGACGGGUAGCCGGCCUGAGAGGGUGACCGGCCACACUGGGACUGAGACACGGCCCAGACUCCUACGGGAGGCAGCAGUGGGGAAUAUUGCACAAUGGGCGCAAGCCUGAUGCAGCGACGCCGCGUGAGGGAUGACGGCCUUCGGGUUGUAAACCUCUUUCAGUAGGGAAGAAGCGAAAGUGACGGUACCUGCAGAAGAAGCACCGGCUAACUACGUG